rnacentral:tRNA from 1 species
GGUUCUAUAGUAGAGUGGUUAGCACGUCUGCUUCACACACAGAAGGUCCUUGGUUUGCGCCCCAGUGGAGCCA